rnacentral:rRNA from 1 species
UUCGGAUUGAAGUUGCUUAUGACUGAGUGGCGGACGGGUGAGUAACGCGUGGGUAACCUGCCUCACACAGGGGGAUAGCAGUUGGAAACGGCUGAUAAUACCGCAUAAGCGCACAGUACCGCAUGGUACAGUGUGAAAAACUCCGGUGGUGUGAGAUGGACCCGCGUCUGAUUAGCUUGUUGGCAGGGUAACGGCCUACCAAGGCAACGAUCAGUAGCCGACCUGAGAGGGUGACCGGCCACAUUGGGACUGAGACACGGCCCAGACUCC